AUCCUUCACUCAUCUCUCCUUAAUCUAAUCACAUUGAUUCUAAACGCGUUUUACAUCCUUUGCCGUUACAACCUUCAUUCGCGUUUACAUCCUCUGCCGUUUCAACCUUCAAGAUCAUCUCUUCCGAUCUGUAUUAAUCGCAUUUCAUAGCCCUUCAAUCGCUUCUCUCUUCCCCUUUCGGUUCCUGUUUCGAAUCAGAUAUUUUUCUCUCAUCGCUCCCUUCCUCUAUUCCCCUUCAAUCGAAUCUCUCAUGGCCCCUUCCAAUUCCCCUUGAUUCGCAUCUCUCUUCCCCUCUCGGUUCCUGUUUCGAAUCUGUGUAACUGAGAUGUUUAUGGGUGGCAUAGAAUUGAUGACUUGCAAUGUGUGUAAAUCGCCCCUCCCGGCUUCAUUCCUCUCAACGCCACGACGGCGACACCGCAGGCCGAUUCUCUACAUCAGAUACAAUACCUGAUGUUUCUUAGAAACCCUAAAUCAGAUUCAGGCAGAUGCUCUACAUUAUAUCCUCCAUCAAGGGAGAUUUUGUUCCUUUUUUUUUUCCUUGGCUUUGCAGGAUAUGACCCGUGCGUUCUCUUACUGAAAUUCUCUUACUAAGGUGUUUGAACGGGAAGAACAUUCAGGGUAUUCUAUGUGAGAGGCUGAGAACGUUUGCAAGGAGUUACAAUAAGAAGUUGGAGCAGAUCUAAUAGCAUGAUACAACCAUAGAGAAAUUAUGGUAGUUUGGGUGGGGUUGAAAGGACACGAUGCCCAACUAGGUGACAAAGAAGCAAGGUUGAUGACUCAUUUGAAGAGGUUGCAAAGAUUGGUAUUUUUUAUUUUACCCACGGGAAAGAAGCAAAGUAUGAUCCAAACAGGCCUAAGAGACCUCCAUUCUCAUUCCUCUAAUUCAGGAAAUCACUUCAACUGGCGUGUCUAGAAGGGCAAGAUAUAUAUGGCGGAUGUUAGCACUAAGCUAAAGAACAAGAACUUCACUACAGAUGUCAAAGUGGACACUAACUCAAAUAUGGAAAUCAUGUUUCUGCCUGGGAUCUUUUACCUGAGAUAUAUACAUUGUUAAUUGCAUUAUUACAUGGCUUUUGGAUAAUAUUAUCUAUGCUCGUGCCUACACUUAUGAGCAUCAGUACAACCUCCUCCUUGGCUUAGCUGCUAAAAUGUAUGAAGAACCGAUUGUAGAUUCAGUGGUUGCUUUGUAUAGGGUGGACUUUUCAGGAAGAGGAGAGCUUGCAGCGCCAGUCAAAACUGGCACAAAUGCUUUCUUGAUUGAUAAAGAUAGCUGCAGAAUUCAAUGUUGCAGUUUACAUGACAAAUCAAGAAAUUAAUUUAAAAAACAUAAUGACCCUUAUAUUAAGGAGUGAAGUUUGCAGUUAAGGUCGUAGCAGGUGAGAACGGAGGCAAUAAGUGGUUCUCCCUCUGGAUGUCUCUCAGUGGCGUUUGUUCCCUAAUUUUCAUCUUCACAAGCGGCUAGGUCUUCCAUAUCUUCACCUUGGCUGACAUUAUGCCCUCAUUGCCAUCUCAGGGUGUUCUUGGAUCUGUUAGAUGUGAUUCUGCAUCAAGGAGAAGUGUCAUAGUCAUUGCACACAGGUGAUACUUUAGUUGUCACUUGUCAGUGUUAAUUAGUGGUAUUCCAAUUCAUAAUUUUUUAGUUUUGAAAUGUGUGAACUGAUUUUACAAGCUUUCUACCAUACAAGUAGCUGACAGGAUUGUGGUGAUGGAUAGAGGUCAUGUUGUUGAGGUUGGUAUAUUUUUCUAUUAUAUUUUGAAUACCUCAAAUAUUCUAAUCAGUAUUCUUUCUUGAGGUUUAUUAUCUUUCAUACAUGAGCCCCACUUUUUUUUUGUUUCAUUAACAAUGUAAAAGUUCACACACAUGUUGGGCUAAUGCUUCUCUAACAAUUCUCAUUUCUUUCUUUUUUUCUCAUUUCUCUGUCCACGUUUCUUGCAAAUUUUCACACACAUGUUGGGCUAAUACUGAAGGUUGAAAAAAAUGUUAAUAUAAUUCAAAGUGAAAUCAUCUUGAGCCAUAAGUAUGUGGUGGUUUAGAUGAGUUCUAUUUUGAACAGGUACAAAAUGUCAGGUCCUGAUGGAAGAAAUUAUUGGAUCAGCCAUGAAGCAAAUAUUGGUGGAAGUGAUGCAGAUGAUGCUUAAUCAUUCUGCCAUUCUCAAUUCAACAAAGUUGGACGGAGAAAGCCUUUCAAGUGCUUUGUCUCUCAAGUAAAUGGAAUAAUGAAAUAAAAAAACUGCUGAAAACUAUGUAUUAACCAAUACUUGGUUAGUUGAUUUUAAGUUAAUUUUUUCCUCAAAUGGAAUUUAUUCAGUUAUGAUGCCAAAAAAAAGGCUAUACAUGUGUGUUAAUUCUUUUUUUCUUUUUACUGAAUUUGAUUCCGGCUCGGUCAUGAUGAAUAUGGCAUUUGAUAGGGUUAAUGUGGAGAUAAAACUCAGUUCAUAUUGCCCUCAUAGAACUUUAUGAGUACAGUAUUGCUUCUUUAACAUUCAAUGCAUUCCUGAAACUGUUUGGAUUUCAUUUAUUGAAUGAUAUGGUUUUCUUUUUUCUUUUUCAUUAUCCUUUCUUUGCGUGACCUGAAACAUAAUUGUCAUUAACUUCUAUCAUCGCAGAAUGAAAGUCACAGGGAACUUAUCUUAAAAGAUGGUUUAUAUGCUUGGUUGACUAGAAAACAGGCAGGUGCCAUGACAUGAUUUGGGUUUCCAGUGCAGAUUAUAAAAAAUGGUGAUGUUUAGCAAAGAAGAAAGCUGCAGCAGUUCUGGUUCUAAAUGCAUGGCGUCUUCAGAAAGAUUUCACAAUAUCAGGAUUCAGGCUCUUAGGUUCAGCAGGAACAUGAAACCUGUGGUAUAUAUGUUUUAGAGGCAGGAAUAUUGUAGAAAUGUGGUUUGAUGGGAUAAAAUAAAUUGCUAUAAGAAGACAUGCAUCUGGACUCGCGCUUCUCCCUCUGCAGCAGCUUUCAUCUAAAACAAACAUAGGCUUGCUCCAUUGUAAAUGUAAUAUUGAUGUUCAACAUGGAUAUUCAAUUCAUAGUCCAGAUGGUCAUCAUGGUGGUAUGACUAUAUAGACACUGUUCAUUUAAUAAAUGUAAAUGUAAUAUUAAUGUUUAACACUUGAUUUGAAGAAAUACAACUGGCCCAUGAUUGAUGACA